GGGAGCUGAGGAGGGAGCGUGGUGACCAGAGCGUGGGUGCUGAGGAGGGAGCAUGGUGACCAGAGCGUGGGUACUGAGAAGAGAGCGUGGUGACCAUGGCGUGGGAGCUGAGGAGGGAGCAUGGUGACCAGAGCGUGGGUACUGAGAAGAGAGUGUGGUGACCACAGCGUGGGAGCUGAGGAGGGAGCGUGGUGACCACAGCGUGGGUACUGAGAAGAGAGCGUGGUGACCACAGCAUGGGAGCUGAGGAGGGAGCGUGGUGACCACAGCGUGGGAGCUGAGGAGGGAGCGUGGUGACCACAGCGUGGGUGCUGAGGAGGGAGCGUGGUGACCACAGCAUGGGAGCUGAGGAGGGAGCGUGGUGACCAGCCUAUGGGUGCUCAGCCCUGUGCCCCUGCCUGAGCCUGGGGGCACGUUGUGGCAGCCCACAGGGGCAUCCUGAGGCACCAGCGGGAUCCUGCCUGUUGGCGUGCUGGCCCGCACCAGCCCCCAUUUUGGCACAGCAGUUUGACAGAAGCCGGCACUGCUUUGCCCUGGGAAUCGGCAGCCUAAAUACAGUGUCCAGCCCACAUCCGGCAGUGGGGCAGUGAGGCCGCAGUGGGGUACCUUACUGCAGGCCUUGGGCCCUUUCUCUCUGCCUGGGACCGUGUCCCGUGAACGGCACCGCCUGUGGCUUUUUGCGCUUACCGGGACUCUGAGAGCUGGUGAGGAUCUGAACCAGACAACGUAGCUCGUCCCGCCUUGCAUGCACGGCCGUGAGGAGCUGGGCCCUCAGGGGCUCCUCCCAUGCCUGGGGUGCAAGGGUGUGCAGAUAUGUGCCGGCCGGCCUCCCAGGAACGGGUUGCGAAAUGCUGUCAUCCUUCACAAAGGAAGGCAGGUUUCCAGCAGCAAAAGCUAAUCUGCCUUUCAGUGCCCCAGAGUGAUGGAAAGCGUUGUGCCAGGACCGGGAGGACUCCAAGAAGCAAGGAUAACGUGACGCUCUAACUUCUGCACGUGAGCAGUGAGACAUCACGUCAAAGGGCGUCUUAAAUUCGUUUUUAAUAAAACAGGAUACUCAUAUGCCGGCACAUUUAACAGAGCUCGGCCCCCCGAUGAGAAGAAAAGAAGGCGUGCACAGCUCAAGAGCAUCAAUUAACCGAAGGCAUCCACAUUCAGCUACAAGAUAAUUCUGGCUGGUCCCUUAGGAGGUGCUGAUUGUGGUUACUAGAUGAUGGGAUGUUUUUCCAGCUAAUAGCAUUUCAUUUUUUCAUCUACUCUCUCAAGUUUUUGACCUUGUCUCCUGGUGCUUCACUGCCAGCAAGGCAGGAUUCAUGCAAGGGUGUAUUUUCAUCUUUUCAAGGCUACUAAGAUGAUUAAGGGACUGGAGCAUCUCUCAUAUGAGGAAAGGCUGAGUGAGCUGGGACUGUUCAGCCUGGAGAAGAGAAGACUGAGGGGGGAUCUGAUCAAUGUGUACAAGUAUCUGAAGGGAGGGUGUAAAGAGGAUGGGGCCAGACUCUCCUCAGUGGUGCCCAGCGAUAGGACAAGAGGCAACAGGCACAAACUGAAACACAAGAAGUUCUGUCUGAGCAUGACAAAAAACUUUACUGUGAGAGUAACAGAGCACUGGAACAGGUUGCCCAGAGAGGUUGUGGAGUCUCCUUCCUUGGAGAUAUUCAAAAGCCAUCUGGACACAAUCCUUGGAAAUGUGCUCUAGGUGACCCUGCUUGAGCAGGGGUUUUGGACUAGAUGAUCUCCAGAGGUCCCUUCCAACCUCAGCCCCUCUGUGAUUCUGUAUAAUUCUGUGAUCUAGCACAACUGCUACUACCCAGAGGCCAAAUCUGGGAUGUGGUGGCCAACCUCAGCUCCUCUCGCUCCGCCUGCCUGCACAGGCUGGAGGUCAUUCCCCACAGGUGGCUGCAAUGAGGCCACUCUGUUGGGGGAGAGGCUUAGCCACAUAGAUACCAGCCACACUGUGACACCAAGCCUCUGUGCCAGAAUAUGGGCCCUGGCUCCUUAUAGAUACCAGUACAGAUGCAGUCUCGGAUGAUCUGCAAGGAGGCAGAAAGUGGAUUUUGUCUUACUUGUGUCUCAGGAUGCUUUUCCUGUCUAACCGAUGACAGUGCAGAUGAGGGUGAGAAACUGGCCCUACCUUUCAAGGGAAAUGUGGAAGAAGAGGCAGGGAGGGGGGCAGACAUGGACUUCAGCAUGGUGCAGGAUGCAGAGGAGCAGGGGGCAGGCAGGGCCCUGCCACUGGAGUAAGGAGGAGCAGCCAGGGAUGAGCAGCCACCAGCUUCCACCUGUGGGGUUGCCAGGAGCAGAGCUGGGGAAGGUUUGGUAAGCGAUGGUGGAGAGCCGGUGGAUGUACUCGUCAGUGGGAAUGAGUGACAUCGUCUGGGGGGAAGAUGCUGCUGGUGGGUUUUCCUCCCUGUGGGAGGGGGUUCCUGUUCCUGUUUGGGCCCUUGGGACUUGUGCUCCUUCCCCAAGCCACAGGAAAUUCCUACCUUCUCCACCUCUCCAUCUCCCCAUAUUUCCCCUUGUCAGGUAGUAAAAAAGCCAUGAGCUGAGCUGCCUAAACACAAGAGACUUGGUUUUAAAGCACGUAAAUUUUUUUAAAGUGCGAGGCUGUUGCAUAGAUCUCAGUACAUCUCCCUCUGUCCAAAGAAACCAUUUUAAUCAGGUCUAAAGACCUGAUUAAAGAUCGCAUUAUUUAAGCUGGAGCGCCAGAAAAGUUAUUUUAGAUCAAGAGAUCCUUUCUGUGGUAUAUAACGAAAAGACAGCUUGUGGCGCAAAAUCCCUCCACCAUUCCUCAGUGUUACAUGCCAGAGGUCCUCAUACAGGGACAGACACCCACUGCCAGUGCUUGUAUCCUCCUAGAGCUCGGGUUUGGUGGUUCUUCUCAUUGCUAGAAAGGGCAGUGAUGAGGAAAAUCUCCAAAGCAGCACUGCAAGUUAUUGGACAUGAAGCCAGACUUAUUGAUCCCUAAAGUGGAAUCACUAAUGUUCCCUGAGAACAGGAAUUGGUGGCACUAAAGGAGGGCAUCAGAUUUUUUUACAGUGCUGCAUUCAUGGGAAGCCAUCUUCCACCUGAUUUGGCCUGAACAAUAAGGCUUUCACUGGGCCACCUUCAGUGAAUGCGGCAGAGUGAACCACUUCUGUUUAUUGUUUUUAUUUCAAAAAUCCCUUUGCUUGCAAUGCCAUGUCAGCUGUUAGAAAACUAAAAUGUCUUUUCCUGUCUGUUUUUUUUCCACCCUGUUUUUCUAUGAGAGCAAAAGUCAACAUGACAACAUUUUGCUCAGCCUUGUUUCUGUCUCUUUUUUAUCUGUAUUACUGAUGCCAAUGGAAAUAUUAAGUCUUUCAAACGGUAAGCUGCAGAGACCAGCAAAAUAUAUGGGGUUUUUUUGGAUAGAUUACAUUAAAAUAAUGCCUACUUGGGGCUUUUUCCUUUUGUUUUUAAAAGCAGCAAAAAGUCUUCAAUAUUUGAAAGAAGAUUUCAAGUUGAAGCACUUUUUAAAAUGUUUUAGUAAAAGAAAAGUCAAGAGUGGAUUCUCAGCUGCUUAAAUUGAUAUAACUUCUUUCUGAGUGCAAGGUUGUUUUGGAGAUUGACAUUAGGGAAGCUCUAGUCUUUUGUGGGUUCAAAGGUCAGCCCAUAUAGUAUUUCUGCUCUCUGUGUGUGUCUUCUAUUUUAUGGGCAAACAAAUGUUAUCUAUUGUUAGCACUGUAGAGUCAAAACAAGUAUGGGAAGAAAAGCUGGAUUCUGUUCCUCUUUGUAGUGUUAUAUAUGUGUGUAAAUGAUUGCAUAUGUUCAGAUACAUAUGUAUUAUCAGUGUGUUUGUACAUUAAAGAUAUGUAUGUCAUAUGUAUAUUAUUACAUAUAGCACAUAUUGCCGCACUCAGUGAAGCUCUGGUAGAUCGUCCGCUGCCUUGAGGGUGAGGGAGUCAUUGCAUGGGCACCCUGCAGGCAUCAACACCCCGCUCGGCUCGAGGUGGGGAGGAGGAAGGGUGUCCCUAGUGUGGGGCAGAGACGCUGGCCAGGUUGCCCUUCCCUUCUGCCAGCAGCGAGGCAGGGUUUCUCCUGCCUUGGCACUGAGCCCUGCUGCCUGCCAGCCUCUCUGUGUGCUUCUG